rnacentral:snRNA from 1 species
UUCUAUACCUGUCAGGGGAGGUACAAUGAUCAUGAAGGUGGUUUUCUCAGAGUGAGGCUUAUUCAUUGCAUUCUGGAUGUGUUGACCCCUACAAUUUCUCUAAAUGGGGGAAACUAAACUGCGUAAUUUGUGGUACUAGGGGACUGUGUUCAUGCUUUCCCCUG